UCGGGAAUUUUGGGCAAUGGGGGAAACCCUGACCCAGCAACGCCGCGUGAAGGAUGAAGUAUUUCGGUAUGUAAACUUCGAAAGAAUAGGAAGAAUAAAUGACGGUACUAUUUAUAAGGUCCGGCUAACUACGUGCCAGCAGCCGCGGUAAUACGUAGGUCCCAAGCGUUGUUCGGAUUUACUGGGCGUAAAGAGUCUGUAGGCGGUGGGGUAAGUCAGAUGUGAAAUCCCGGGGCUCAACCCCGGAACUGCAUCCGAUACUGCCUUACUUGAGGGUCGGAGGGGAGUCUGGAAUUCUCGGUGUAGCAGUGAAAUGCGUAGAUAUCGAGAGGAACACUAGUGGCGAAGGCGAGACUCUGGACGACAACUGACGCUGAGAGACGAAGGCCAGGGGAGCGAAAAGGAUUAGAUACCCACGUAGUCCCUGAGCGGGCUGGCAAGGCGCAU
rnacentral:rRNA from 1 species